AGAGCGAACGCUGGCGGCAGGCCUAACACAUGCAAGUCGAGCGCCCGUAGCAAUACGGGAGCGGCAGACGGGAUAGUAACACGUGGGAACGCGCCCUUCGGUUCGGAAUAACUCAGGGAAACUUGAGCUAAUACCGAAUACGCCCUUACGGGGAAAGAUUUAUUGCCGAAGGAACGGCCCGCGUCCGAUUAGCUAGUUGGUGAGGUAAUGGCUCACCAAGGCUACGAUCGGUAGCUGGUCUGAGAGGAUGACCAGCAUCACUGGGACUGAGACACGGCCCAGACUCCUACGGGAGGCAGCAGUGGGGAACAUUGGACAAUGGGCGCAAGCCUGAUCCAGCCAUGCCGCGUGGAUGAUGAAGGCCUUAGGGUUGUAAAGUCCUUUUAACGGGGAAGAUAAUGACGGUACCCGUAGAAUAAGCCCCGGCUAACUUCGUGCCAGCAGCCGC
rnacentral:rRNA from 1 species